rnacentral:rRNA from 1 species
UGCAGUCGAGCGGUACACAGAGAGCUUGCUCUCGGGUGACGAGCGGCGGACGGGUGAGUAAUGUCUGGGAAACUGCCUGAUGGAGGGGGAUAACUACUGGAAACGGUAGCUAAUACCGCAUAACGUCGCAAGACCAAAGUGGGGGACCUUCGGGCCUCAUGCCAUCAGAUGUGCCCAGAUGGGAUUAGCUAGUAGGUGGGGUAAUGGCUCACCUAGGCGACGAUCCCUAGCUGGUCUGAGAGGAUGACCAGCCACACUGGAACUGAGACACGGUCCAGACUCCUACGGGAGGCAGCAGUGGGGAAUAUUGCACAAUGGGCGCAAGCCUGAUGCAGCCAUGCCGCGUGUAUGAAGAAGGCCUUCGGGUUGUAAAGUACUUUCAGCGAGGAGGAAGGCUUUA